CUCUUUUCGUGGCUCACGGUGUGAUAAUUGGUAUUUCAUACCAUCGAGGGGCGUGUCUCUGUCCAGCCUUGUUAUGAUGUCAGUACAUUCCCCAUCUGGCA